rnacentral:misc_RNA from 1 species
GGAAAAUUAGACAAGUUGACUCUCUCCACAACCAUGAAUGUGAUGAUCAGCGUCCAUAGGCAGCAUUUGGAAUUCACCAAGUUCUUGAAUGAACCCAUCCCAAUCUCCAAAUCCUGAUAAGAAACCACCUGAAUUUGCACCAUUCCACAUUUCUUCUUCCUCUUUAACCUUCCCUCUAGACCCUGAAUCACCAAAACCACUUCUUAGCUCUUCUUUCUCGGUAGUCACUGCUGUUGGCUGAUCCUGCCUUCUGGGUAUUCCUGGUUUCUUCUUGCAGCCCUUUUCAGCUGGUUUCCCUGUGAGUCUUUGCACCAACUCUCGAAAGUUUGCAACAUCUGUCUUGAUGAUUUCAGGAGCAAAUAUGUGAACUAUGCGAACCUUUGGCUUCGCUUUGGAUAUUGUUUGUGAAUCUUUAUGCAUGGUAAGUGGUGAUGGAGUUGGAGAAGAAGUGGGUAUACAAGCUUGUUUCUUCAUCACGAUGCCCUCCAUCGUUGAAGAUUUUUUUUAUCUAUGAAAGUGAGAGA